AUUGAACGCUGGCGGCAUGCUUUACACCUGCAAGUCGGACGAGUGGCGAACGGGUGAGUAACGCAUCGGAACGUACCGAGUAGUGGGGGAUAACUGUCGGAAAGGACAGCUAAUACCGCAUAUUAUUCGAGCGGCCGAGGUCUGAUUAGAUGGUUGGCGGGGUAAAGGCUCACCAAGGCGACGAUCGGUAGCGGGUCUGCGAGGAUGAACCGCCACACUGGGACUGAGACACGGCCCAGACUCCUACGGGAGGCAGCAGUGGGGAAUGUUGGACAAUGGGCGCAAGCCUGAUGCAGCCAUGCCGCGUGUCUGAAGAAGGCCUUCGGGUUGUAAAGGACUUUUGUCAGGGAAGCGGUACCUGAAGAAUAAGCACCGGCUAACUCCGUGCCAGCAGCCGCGGUAAUAC
rnacentral:rRNA from 1 species